rnacentral:lncRNA from 10 species
AAAUAAAUCUCUGCAUGCUACUUUCAGGAUGACAUGUGGUGGGUCUCCAGGGGUCCAAACAGAUAUUCAAAUAUUUUAUGGUAUGUUAAUGUGACUUUUGGAUUUUUGUCUUUCGUUUGCAUGUUUUCCUUUAGAAAGUUGUCAUUUUAUAUAGUCUUUAUUUCAAAGGAGAGUGAAGGGAGGAAGACUGUGAGGAGAUGACUCAGACAUCUCUGUGGAUAAAAUGUUUAAACUAGAAACAUGAAGUCCAAAUGUUUAUGUAAAAAUGCAUGUGUCAUAUCACUGUCAGCAUCCCGUGACCCUUUAGCUUAUUAAUUUACCAAAAGGCUUCUAAUGAAAAUAUUGCCUGUGCUGUUUGCUUCCAAAGAUGUGAUCCUGUACAGCUGAUCGACCCCUGUCAUUUCCAUUGUGAUAGCUGGAGCUCCCCCUUCUAGCUAGUGGAGGUAGUGGUUAGAAAAAAGGCGUCCUAGGCCGCGCACGGUGGCUCACGCCUGUAAUCCCAGCACUUUGGGAGGCCGAGGCAGGCAGAUUGAGGUCAGGAGAUCGAGACCAUCCUGGCUAACACGGUGAAACCCCGUCUCUACCAAAAAUACAAAAAAAAUUAGCCGGGCGUGGCGGCGGGCGCCUGUAGUCCCAGCUACUCGGGAGGCUGAGACACGAGAAUGGCGUGAACCCGG